rnacentral:rRNA from 1 species
GACGAACGCUGGCGGCGUGCCUAAUACAUGCAAGUAGAACGCAGUUGCGAACGGGUGAGUAACGCGUAGGUAACUGCCUCAUAGCGGGGGAUAACUCUUGGAAACGAUAGCUAAUACCGCAUCCUUUGUGCUGGACCUUCGUUGUAUUAGCUAGUUGGUGAGGUAAAGGCUCACCAAGGCGCCGAUACAUAGCCGACCUGAGAGGGGGAUCGGCCACACUGGGACUGAGACACGGCCCAGACUCCUACGGGAGGCCGCAGUAGGGAAUCUUCGGCAAUGGACGGAAGUCUGACCGAGCAACGCCGCGUGAGUGAAGAAGGUUUUCGGAUCGUAAAGCUCUGUUGUUAGAGAAGCGGUAACUAACGAGAAAGGGACGGCUAACUACGUGCCAGCCGCCGCGGUAAUUG